UAGGGAAUCUUCGUCAAUGGGGGGAACCCUGACCGAGCAACGCCGCGUGAGUGAAGAAGGUUUUCGGAUCGUAAAGCUCUGUUGUUAAGGAAGAACGAGUGUGAGAAUGGAAAGUUCAUACUGUGACGGUACUUAACCAGAAAGGGACGGCUAACUACGUGCCAGCAGCCGCGGUAAUACGUAGGUCCCGAGCGUUGUCCGGAUUUAUUGGGCGUAAAGCGAGCGCAGGCGGUUAGAAAAGUCUGAAGUGAAAGGCAGUGGCUCAACCAUUGUAGGCUUUGGAAACUGUUUAACUUGAGUGCAGAAGGGGAGAGUGGAAUUCCAUGUGUAGCGGUGAAAUGCGUAGAUAUAUGGAGGAACACCAGUGGCGAAGGCGACUCUCUGGUCUGUAACUGACGCUGAGGUUCGAAAGCGUGGGUAGCAAACAGG
rnacentral:rRNA from 1 species